rnacentral:rRNA from 1 species
UACGGAGGGAGCUAGCGUUGUUCGGAAUUACUGGGCGUAAAGCGCACGUAGGCGGCUUUGCAAGUCAGAGGUGAAAGCCUGGAGCUCAACUCCAGAAUUGCCUUUGAGACUGCAUCGCUUGAACACGGGAGAGGUGAGUGGAAUUCCGAGUGUAGAGGUGAAAUUCGUAGAUAUUCGGAAGAACACCAGUGGCGAAGGCGGCAUCCUGGCCCUGAACUGACGCUGAGGCGCGAUAGCGUGGGGAGCAAACGGG